UACGAAGGGGGCUAGCGUUGUUCGGAUUUACUGGGCGUAAAGGGCGCGUAGGCGGAUUUUUAAGUCAGGGGUGAAAUCCCAAGGCUCAACCUUGGAACUGCCUUUGAUACUGGGGGAUCUUGAGUCCGGGAGAGGUGAGUGGAACUGCGAGUGUAGAGGUGAAAUUCGUAGAUAUUCGCAGGAACACCGGUGGCGAAGGCGGCGACCUGGUCCGAUACUGACGCUGAGGCGCGAAAGCGUGGGGGAGCAAACAGG
rnacentral:rRNA from 1 species